UUAAGCGACUAAGCGUACACGGUGGAUGCCCUGGCAGUCAGAGGCGAUGAAGGACGUGCUAAUCUGCGAAAAGCGUCGGUAAGGUGAUAUGAACCGUUAUAGCCGGCGAUGUCCGAAUGGGGAAACCCAGUGCAAUUCGUUGCACUAUCGUUAACUGAAUACAUAGGUUAACGAGGCGAACCGGGGGAACUGAAACAUCUAAGUACCCCGAGGAAAAGAAAUCAACCGAGAUUCCCCCAGUAGCGGCGAGCGAACGGGGAGCAGCCCAGAGUCUGAAUCAGCUUGUGUGUUAGUGGAACGGUCUGGAAAGUCCGACGGUACAGGGUGAUAGUCCCGUACACCAAAAUGCACAGGCUGUGAACUCGAAGAGUAGGGCGGGACACGUGGUAUCCUGUCUGAAUAUGGGGGGACCAUCCUCCAAGGCUAAAUACUCCUGACUGACCGAUAGUGAACCAGUACCGUGAGGGAAAGGCGAAAAGAACCCCGGCGAGGGGAGUGAAAAAGAACCUGAAACCGUGUACGUACAAGCAGUGGGAGCACCUUCGGGUGUGACUGCGUACCUUUUGUAUAAUGGGUCAGCGACUUAUAUUCUGUAGCAAGGUUAACCGUAUAGGGGAGCCGCAGGGAAACCGAGUCUUAACUGGGCGUUAAGUUGCAGGGUAUAGACCCGAAACCCGGUGAUCUAGCCAUGGGCAGGUUGAAGGUUGGGUAACACUAACUGGAGGACCGAACCGACUAAUGUUGAAAAAUUAGCGGAUGACUUGUGGCUGGGGGUGAAAGGCCAAUCAAACCGGGAGAUAGCUGGUUCUCCCCGAAAGCUAUUUAGGUAGCGCCUCGUGAACUCAUCUUCGGGGGUAGAGCACUGUUUCGGCUAGGGGGUCAUCCCGACUUACCAACCCGAUGCAAACUACGAAUACCGAAGAAUGUUAUCACGGGAGACACACGGCGGGUGCUAACGUCCGUCGUGAAGAGGGAAACAACCCAGACCGCCAGCUAAGGUCCCAAAGUCAUGGUUAAGUGGGAAACGAUGUGGGAAGGCACAGACAGCCAGGAUGUUGGCUUAGAAGCAGCCAUCAUUUAAAGAAAGCGUAAUAGCUCACUGGUCGAGUCGGCCUGCGCGGAAGAUGUAACGGGGCUAAACCAUGCACCGAAGCUGCGGCAGCGACACUAUGUGUUGUUGGGUAGGGGAGCGUUCUGUAAGCCUGCGAAGGUGACCUGUGAGGGUUGCUGGAGGUAUCAGAAGUGCGAAUGCUGACAUAAGUAACGAUAAAGCGGGUGAAAAGCCCGCUCGCCGGAAGACCAAGGGUUCCUGUCCAACGUUAAUCGGGGCAGGGUGAGUCGACCCCUAAGGCGAGGCCGAAAGGCGUAGUCGAUGGGAAACAGGUUAAUAUUCCUGUACUUGGUGUUACUGCGAAGGGGGGACGGAGAAGGCUAUGUUAGCCGGGCGACGGUUGUCCCGGUUUAAGCAUGUAGGCUGGUUGUCCAGGCAAAUCCGGAUAAUCAAGGCUGAGGUGUGAUGACGAGGCACUACGGUGCUGAAGUAACAAAUGCCCUGCUUCCAGGAAAAGCCUCUAAGCAUCAGGUAACAUUAAAUCGUACCCCAAACCGACACAGGUGGUCAGGUAGAGAAUACCAAGGCGCUUGAGAGAACUCGGGUGAAGGAACUAGGCAAAAUGGUGCCGUAACUUCGGGAGAAGGCACGCUGGUGUGUAGGUGAAGCCCCUGCGGGUGGAGCUGAGACCAGUCGAAGAUACCAGCUGGCUGCAACUGUUUAUUAAAAACACAGCACUGUGCAAACACGAAAGUGGACGUAUACGGUGUGACGCCUGCCCGGUGCCGGAAGGUUAAUUGAUGGGGUUAUCCGUAAGGAGAAGCUCUUGAUCGAAGCCCCGGUAAACGGCGGCCGUAACUAUAACGGUCCUAAGGUAGCGAAAUUCCUUGUCGGGUAAGUUCCGACCUGCACGAAUGGCGUAAUGAUGGCCAGGCUGUCUCCACCCGAGACUCAGUGAAAUUGAACUCGCUGUGAAGAUGCAGUGUACCCGCGGCAAGACGGAAAGACCCCGUGAACCUUUACUAUAGCUUGACACUGAACAUUGAGCCUUGAUGUGUAGGAUAGGUGGGAGGCUUUGAAGCGUGGACGCCAGUCUGCGUGGAGCCAACCUUGAAAUACCACCCUUUAAUGUUUGAUGUUCUAACGUUGGCCCCUGACCGGGGUUGCGGACAGUGUCUGGUGGGUAGUUUGACUGGGGCGGUCUCCUCCCAAAGCGUAACGGAGGAGCACGAAGGUUAGCUAAUCCUGGUCGGACAUCAGGAGGUUAGUGCAAUGGCAUAAGCUAGCUUGACUGCGAGCGUGACGGCGCGAGCAGGUGCGAAAGCAGGUCAUAGUGAUCCGGUGGUUCUGAAUGGAAGGGCCAUCGCUCAACGGAUAAAAGGUACUCCGGGGAUAACAGGCUGAUACCGCCCAAGAGUUCAUAUCGACGGCGGUGUUUGGCACCUCGAUGUCGGCUCAUCACAUCCUGGGGCUGAAGUAGGUCCCAAGGGUAUGGCUGUUCGCCAUUUAAAGUGGUACGCGAGCUGGGUUUAGAACGUCGUGAGACAGUUCGGUCCCUAUCUGCCGUGGGCGCUGGAGAAUUGAGGGGGGCUGCUCCUAGUACGAGAGGACCGGAGUGGACGCAUCACUGGUGUUCGGGUUGUCAUGCCAAUGGCACUGCCCGGUAGCUAAAUGCGGAAGAGAUAAGUGCUGAAAGCAUCUAAGCACGAAACUUGCCCCGAGAUGAGUUCUCCCUGAGACUUUAAGUCUCCUGAAGGAACGUUAAAGACGAUGACGUUGAUAGGCCGGGUGUGUAAGCGCAGCGAUGCGUUGAGCUAACCGGUACUAAUGAACCGUGAGGCUUAACCUU
rnacentral:rRNA from 1 species